GUUGCCUUUUUAGAACAUUUCUAACAGCUAUGUCUGGGAAACAUCGAAGGACUAUUCUAACCGAUGAAGAUGCAGCAAUGGCCAAGGCAAUCAGUAAAGUCCUUCCUCAGUCUCACCAUAGACUUUGUGUGUGGCAUAUGAAUCAAAAUGCUUGCAAGCACCUUGCUGGGGUUGUUGAAGAAUAUAAGAAGUUCAAUGCCGAUUUCCAGCAUUGCAUCUAUGAUAUUGAGGAAGAAGACGAUUUUAUAAAUGAAUGGAAUAGAAUGCUAGACAGGUAUGGACUCCGUGACAAUAUGUGGCUGCAAAGGCUGUUUGAGAAAAGGGAGCAAUGGGCACUAGUGUAUGGCAGAAAUACAUUCUCAGCCCACAUGAGCACUACCCAAAGAAGUGAAAGCAUGAAUAAUGAACUAAAGCAGUACAUUAGUAUUAAAUAUGACAUGCUUACUUUUUUUGAGCAUUUUGAGCGUCUAGUUGCGGAUAAAAGAUUUGUAGAGGUGAAGUGUGACUUCAAGGCGUCACAAACUACUCCCAAGCUGAAGGCAGAAGUUAGCUAUGUGUUAAGGCAAGCCGCAACUACAUAUACUCCCGCAAUAUUCAAGAUGUUUCAGGAGCAAGUGCUUCGGACCCUGAACUAUGACACAUUUCUUUGUGAUUCAAGUGAUAAAGAGAAGAAGGUUUACACAGUAAAAUUUCAUGGAACGCAGCGCGAGCAUGUUGUCAGUUUUUAUCCAAAUGAAGAAAAGGUCAAUUGCAGUUGCAAGAAGUUUGAAUUUGCUGGAAUCCUCUGCUCUCAUUGCUUAAAGAUACUUGAUAUUAAUAAUAUCAAGCAUAUCCCUGAACAAUAUAUACUGAAAAGAUGGACAAUUUAUGCGAAAGUGCUAGAGAUAACAAGCAAUCGCAAUCUGCAUGAAGAUCUAAAAGCAAGAAUGUCGAACUUUUAGAAGGACUUGUGUAGAAUGUUUAUCCACAUAGCUGCUCGCGCCGCAGAGUCCGAUGAAACAUAUGAUAUGGCUGCUAAAUGUGCAGAGCAGCUAGCACGAGAUGUAGAGCAAAGCUUGAAAAUUAGAGUUGAUCCAGACCCAAAUCCAGAUUUGGGUGACUCCUCUGUUUCGCAAGGUCUGAACAUCGACUCUACUAGAGUUUCAAAGCAUAACGAGGGGCUUCACAUGCCAAGAGGUAUGAAGGUCAAGGAGAAGACUGUACGAGGAUCAGCGAGACCCAUUGGUGGCUUGGAGAAAGCAAAAACAACGAAGAAAAAGAAGAUAGAUGAUUCUUUACAACUACAACCUGAAAUGCCUUUCACAAAUCAAAUGCCUACGUAUAACCCAAUCUUAAUGGUAUAAGAAGUCGAAGCUUUUUGACUUUAUCUCCUUUUUAAACUUGAACCACACUAAGUUUUGCUGUUAAUCUUCAUAGGGUCAAUUCAGAGAAAAUAUUGUACCAGGAUCAGCAAGACCCGCUGAUGGCUUGGAGAAAGCAAAAACAAAGAAGAAAAAGAAGACAGUCAAUUCUUUACAAGAAGGACCUGAAAUACCUUUGACAAACCAAAUGCCUGGGUAUUUACCACAAUACAAUCCAACCCAAAUGGUUCAACUGGGAGCUCCGCCAAGUCAUGCUUACCCCUAUUUAGCACAUUACAACUCAAGUCUGCAACAAUCCAUUGGUCUGUCGACCCCUACGAUGAUGCCAGGACAAAAUAUAUUAUUCUUCCAACAACAGACUCCUACCAGUGGUACUUCUACCCCUAUGAUAAUGGCAGGACAGAAUCUACCAUUCUUCCAACAACAGAAUCCUACCAUUGGUACCUGUAGCCCUACGAUGAUGCCAGGACAGAAUCUAUCAUUCUUUUAACAGCAGACUCCUACCAGUGGUACUUCUACCCCUAUGAUGAUGCCCAGACAGAAUCUGUCAUUUCUCCAGCAACAAAAUCCUACCGUUGGUACCUCAACCCCGACGAUGAUCCCAGGACAAAAUCUACCAUUCUCCCAACAACAAAAGCCAGCUUAAUCAAUGUUAUAGAUUUUUAUUUCAUGUACUUCUGUGCAAUUCUAUUAGAACCUAUGAGUAUACAACCAUGGAUUGAAGGAGACUACCUAUAUCAAUCAGCAAUUAACUGAAUAAGCAAUUUGUGACUGUGAUAAAUAUAAAAAUAGUCUUAUCUGUCUUGUAUUAAUAGGCUUGGUUAGCAUCAGGCACAAACUGUACUAUUACCAACAUCAUAGAUUAGUUUGUCUAACCUGACA